ACUCAAAAAAUGGCGGCACUUUCCUACCUAGAACAGAAAGUGCCCCCACAGUUUGAGUGG
rnacentral:ncRNA from 2 species